rnacentral:rRNA from 1 species
GAUGAACGCUGGCGGCGUGCCUAAUACAUGCAAGUCGAGCGAACGGACGAGAAGCUUGCUUCUCUGAUGUUAGCGGCGGACGGGUGAGUAACACGUGGAUAACCUACCUAUAAGACUGGGAUAACUUCGGGAAACCGGAGCUAAUACCGGAUAAUAUUUUGAACCGCAUGGUUCAAAAGUGAAAGACGGUCUUGCUGUCACUUAUAGAUGGAUCCGCGCUGCAUUAGCUAGUUGGUAAGGUAACGGCUUACCAAGGCGACGAUGCAUAGCCGACCUGAGAGGGUGAUCGGCCACACUGGAACUGAGACACGGUCCAGACUCCUACGGGAGGCAGCAGUAGGGAAUCUUCCGCAAUGGGCGAAAGCCUGACGGAGCAACGCCGCGUGAGUGAUGAAGGUCUUCGGAUCGUAAAACUCUGUUAUUAGGGAAGAACAUAUGUGUAAGUAACUGUGCACAUCUUGACGGUACCUAAUCAGAAAGCCACGGCUAACUACGUGCCAGCAGCCGCGGUAAUACGUAGGUGGCAAGCGUUAUCCGGAAUUAUUGGGCGUAAAGCGCGCGUAGGCGGUUUUUUAGUCUGAUGUGAAAGCCCACGGCUCAACCGUGGAGGGUCAUUGGAAACUGGAAAACUUGAGUGCAGAAGAGGAAAGUGGAAUUCCAUGUGUAGCGGUGAAAUGCGCAGAGAUAUGGAGGAACACCAGUGGCGAAGGCGACUUUCUGGUCUGUAACUGACGCUGAUGUGCGAAAGCGUGGGGAUCAAACAGGAUUAGAUACCCUGGUAGUCCACGCCGUAAACGAUGAGUGCUAAGUGUUAGGGGGUUUCCGCCCCUUAGUGCUGCAGCUAACGCAUUAAGCACUCCGCCUGGGGAGUACGACCGCAGGGUUGAAACUCAAAGGAAUUGACGGGGACCCGCACAAGCGGUGGAGCAUGUGGUUUAAUUCGAAGCAACGCGAAGAACCUUACCAAAUCUUGACAUCCUUUGACAACUCUAGAGAUAGAGCUUUCCCCUUCGGGGGACAAAGUGACAGGUGGUGCAUGGUUGUCGUCAGCUCGUGUCGUGAGAUGUUGGGUUAAGUCCCGCAACGAGCGCAACCCUUAAGCUUAGUUGCCAUCAUUAAGUUGGGCACUCUAAGUUGACUGCCGGUGACAAACCGGAGGAAGGUGGGGAUGACGUCAAAUCAUCAUGCCCCUUAUGAUUUGGGCUACACACGUGCUACAAUGGACAAUACAAAGGGCAGCGAAACCGCGAGGUCAAGCAAAUCCCAUAAAGUUGUUCUCAGUUCGGAUUGUAGUCUGCAACUCGACUACAUGAAGCUGGAAUCGCUAGUAAUCGUAGAUCAGCAUGCUACGGUGAAUACGUUCCCGGGUCU